rnacentral:lncRNA from 10 species
GAAUAAACAUUUUAUUUAGAAAAAUGGAGGAAGAGAAUUACUUCAGGAGAGUGAGAACUCAGGAUAAGGAGAGGUGGGACAGGGAACGGGGACCAUGGUGGAUACUGACCACUUGACACCCAUCCCAACCUCCUUUAUCUUGACUUUCUACUAUACAGGCUGAAAAGCUAAAAAAAAGAAAAACUCUCACCAUCUUAAACUCCCUUGCAGCUGGGGGUAAUUAAGACACAGCUCUUGCCAAUAACACAAUCAGAAACCUGCUGGGGAUUUCUGGGAAAGUCUUUGCUACCUUCCUUCUGCCUGGAACACAGAUGUGAUUGAUGACUUAAGGAGCUGCAGCAGCCAUCUUGUGAUCAUGAGGGAAAGGCCAAGAAAAUGGAAACACAUCUGACCUGAUGCUGUUGAGCCACUUAACAAACUGCUCACGUCUGGACCUCUGGUUGUGAAUAACACAAAAAUAUUAAAAUCAAUUCUUAUAGUUUAUGUUACCAGCAACCGGGUUUUCUGUUACUUGCAGCCAUGUGCAAUCCAUAGCAAAUAUAAGGACUGUUUGACUUUUUUUUAAAAAAAUCAAUGUAUCUGCAGUAUUUUGAUAACCAUUAAAAUGAAAUUUUAAAAUAGAUUAGUAGAGUAGAGUGUUAGUCGUUAGUAAAAUAGUCCCUGGACUCAGGGACUGCCUGGCACACAUGGUGUUCUCAUGUAAUUUUGGUCGAGGCCCAGGUCCCUUCCUAGUUCCUGCAUAGCUCUUAGACCAUGUCCUCCCCCAUGGUCUUAGGCAGUUAGGAAAGAAUACUGCAGAUGUAGCAGCCUCUGUGACAGUCCCCAUUACAUUCCUGCACUUUGCAUCUUGACAUAUAUAGAUUUUACUUAAUGCUAUAAAUUAAGACAAUUGUGCUGAAGUCCAAUUAAUCCAGUGAAUUUUCUGGGACAAAUGCAAGGCAAAACUUGAUUAUGAGGUAGGAGCCCAAGCUCCUGUCUAUUUUUUGCUCCUUUGUUUCUGAUAAAGCCACUGCACAAAGGCCUCAAAAAUACUUUCUGGGCUGGGCACAGUGGCUCAUGCCUGUAAUCCCAGCACUUUGAGAAACCAAGGCGGGCAGAUCACCUGAGGUCAGGAGUUUGAGACCAGGUGAAAGCCCGUCUCCACUCAAAAUACAAAAAUUAGCCAGGCGUGGUGGCGGGUGCCUAUAGUCCCAGAUACUCAGGAAGCUGAGGCAGGAGAAUCACAUAAACCUGGAAGGUGGAGGUUGCAGCGAGCCGAGAUCUCGCCACUGCACUCCAGCCUGGAUGACAGAGUGAGACUCUGUCUCAAAAACAAACAAAAAAAACUUUCUGAAUUCUCCUCUGCUCUAUGUCUAUUUCUUUAGAGAUACAACAAAAUAGUUAAGAAUCAGAACCCUGCAUGUCAUCCUAGACACUUCCCUCAUCUGCUUUAUCCUCGAGUCCUAUUUUACCCCUUGGAAUCUCUCAAGGCCAUCUCCUGUUCAUGACCUCUUCAUCACCCUAGCCCAGGCAGCUGUCAGUGGUUGAUGUCCCCCUCUGUUCAAAGACCUCCAAUCAAUCGCCCCAUCUCACUGUGAAAACCAAUGACCUACCAGCUCACAUGUGAUCUGGUCUCAUUUAACCUCUCUGGCCUCACUCUCCUCCACUCUUUCCCUCAUUUUCCAUUUUCUAAUCACAUAUGCGCCAUGUCCCCUCUUACUUUUGCCUGGAAUGCCCUCCUACCCGCCCAGGCCCACAUGUUUUGCCCUUUAUCUUCCUAACUCUUAUUCACCCUUCAGAGCUAACUUAGUUAUCACCUCCUCUAGGAAGGCUUUCUUGAUUCCCAAUGUUAUAUAAAGAGAACUCCCCAAGGAAAGGGUUCAACAUCUCCUAUUUUAGCCCCAGCAUCAGAACAGUUCCUGACACAGAGUAGGCACUCAAUAGACGUUUGUUGAGUGAAUGAAUGUUGGUAGACAGAAGAAAAUAAGCUGUUGCUUCCAGCAAGUGGCAAUUGAGCCUGUGAGCACAGCUGUGUUUGGGGUGAGAGACUGCCCUCUAGGGCAGCCCAUACAUGCUCUGUUAGAAAUGCUUUGAGUGCAAGUAACUGCAAAUCCAGCUAAUAUGGCCAAAAAUACAGGUUGUGCCAAACAGUGGCACACAGGGCAAAUCUGGCCCUUAGCCCGUUUUUGAAAAUGAAGUUUUCUCAGAACAUAGUCACAUCCAUUUGUUAACAUAUUGUCAAAGGCUGCUGUCACGAUAUAAAUGAAGAGUUUAGUAGUCAUGACAGAGACAUAUGGCUGGCAAAACUUAAAAUAUCUACUAUGUGGCCCAAGGAGUUUCCAGGGUUAGUUUCAUAGCUGAACAAUACUCAGGACAUUGGGAUAGUGUCUCUGUUAUUCUCUUGGCUUUCUCCUCAUGGUCACAAAAUGGCUUCCACAGCUCCAGGCAUCACAUCCUCACAUAACUGCUUUUGGAGAAGGAAGUAAUUGGAGGCUUAGAGCAGAGAGAUCCCCUUAUGUUUUCCUCUUAUCGGGGAAGAAAAACUUUCCCAGACUGCCCAUAAAUUGACCUUUAUACCUUGCUGGUCAGACUGGGUUACAUGCCCAUCCUCUAAGCCAGAGGCUGAACCCACCUUCCUUAAAUCCCGGAACAAGAUUAGAGUCCUUACAGCAAGGAAGAAGAGAAGGGAUGUUACAUUAGUGAGCAACCACAGUGUCUGCCAUAACAUUCCCUCCGACUACCUUUCUCUCUCCUCAGUGGCAUCUGACUCUCCCUUAGGAAGGGAACUGCCUUAGAUCUGGAAAAAGACCUUGCCAAGAGCUCAGGUUCGAAUAUGAGCUACCUCUUCCCCAGGGUAGGGUACAAAGUAGCACUACUGAAAGGAGAGCUGCUGCAUUGUAUAAUUGAAGGAAAAGAAUUUGAAGUUUCAGGGACAAAAUCGGAGAUCCAGGGUGGAGACUGAGGUGAGGGCACCGGCAAGAUAGUGUCCUAGGAGAAAGUCACUGUCCAAUCUUGAGUUUUCUGCCCUUUACAAAAUCUUGUAUAAAGUCUAUUAAAUUCGUAAUAACCGCUAGAACACACUGGUUGCAAACAAGAGAAAAACAAACAAGCUAAACCGUCUUAGGUGAAAAACAAAAACAGAAUAAAUCUUAAAAAGCACAACUGAAUAGUCUGCCAGGAAGAAUGGAUGAGGGAGUGAGGGAAGCGGGACUGAAAAGAUGGGAUUUGAUUUCUCUUUAUUUCUCUGCCCCAUUUCCUCCUGAAUGGCUCCAUUCUCAGGCAAUCUUCCUCCGCAGCACACGAUGGCUGUCAGCAGCACCUGGAGAAAGAUCAUUCCUUUUUUUAGACCAGCAAGCAAAGGAGUCUCUUCCCUCAAUUUGUAGAAAACAUUCAUCUUUAUUCCGAUGAACAAGCUCAGGUCACAUGCCCAUCCUUGGGCCAAUCACUGUAGCCAAGGGGUAGGGAUUAUCCUGAUUGGCUCAGACCUCAGCCACAGGCCCCACCCCUGGAAGAGGAUGUCACUUCCCAGAAGCCCUCGGGCCCUUGGGGAGGGACGGGCACUGUUCCCCAGAGCAGUGCAAUCAAUGCUGGGAAACUGAAGCUGCGAGUGUCCGAGGGACCCUGGGAUGUCUCUGGGGUCUGCGUAGGUACCCAUGGAGGAGCAGAGAUGGUGGAUGAAGGAGGCCGUGGAGGAGAAAAGAACACAGGAAUUUACCAGAAAUUGGCAGGCUGUGGAAUUGAUGGAGUCCACUUACUGUCCAGGCCUAAGGGGUCCAAUAAUCCCAUCCUUUGCCGAAAGCUUUACUGUGGGACUGGCAUCAUUUCAAGCAUUUAAUCCUCGUCCCAACUCUACGAGGAAGGGUCUCGCUUUGUCACCCAGGCUGGAGUGCAAUGGUGCAAUCACAGCAUACUGCAGCCUCAACCUCCCAGGCUCAAGCAAUCCUCCCACCUCAGCUUCGGUCUCCCUCUCAUGCUGAGCCAAACCUGGACUGUGCUGCUGCCAUCUCGGCUCACUGCAACCUCCCUGCCUGAUUCUCCUGCCUCAGCCUGCCGAGUGCCUGCGACUGCAGGCGCGCGCCACCACACCUGACUGGUUUUCGUGUUUUUUUGGUGGAGACGGGGUUUCGCUGUGUUGGCCGGGCUGGUCUCCAGCUCCUAACCGCGAGUGAUCCACCAGCCUCGGCCUCCCGAGGUGCCGGGAUUGCAGACGGAGUCUCGUUAACUCAGUGCUCAAUGGUGCCCAGGCUGGAGUGCAGUGGCGUGAUCUCGGCUCGCUACAAUCUCCACCUCCCAGCCGCCUGCCUUGGCCCCCCAAAGUGCGGAGAGUGCAGCCUCUGCCCGGCCGCCACCCCGUCUGGGAAGUGAGGAGCGUCUCUGCCUGGCCGCCCAUCGUCUGGGAUGUGAGGAGCCCCUCUGCCUGGCUGCCCAGUCUGGAAAGUGAGGAGCGUCUCUGCCCGGCCGCCAUCCCACCUGGGAAGUGAGGAGUGCCUCUUCCCAGCCGCCAUCCCAUCUAGGAAGUGAGGAGCAUCUCUGCCCGGCCGCCCAUCGUCUGAGAUGUGGGGAGCGCCUCUGCCCCGCCACCCCGUCUGGGAUGUGAGGAGCGCCUGGGCCCGGCCGCGACCCCGUCUGGGAGGCCACAUGAAGACACAGAGACACACAGAGAAGAGAAUGCCAUGUGAAGCCAGGGACAGAGAUUGGAGUGAUGUAUAUAUAAGCCCAGGAAUAUCUGUGGCCACCAGAGCUGGAAGAGGCAAGAAGCUCUCUCCCUGAGAGCCUCCAGAGGGAAUCAACCCUGCUGACUCUUGACUUUAAACUUCUGGCCUCCAGAGCUGUGAGAAAACACGUUUCUCUUGUUUUAAGACCCCCAGUUUGUGGCAAUUAAUUACAGCAACCCUUGGAAUCUAAUAUAUUGACCAUUCCAAAUGCUGGGGAAGAAUGUGGAGGAACUGGAACUCUUGUACAUUGCUGAUGGGAAUGUAAGAUAGUACAAGCGCUUUGGAAACCAGUUUGGCAAUUUUUUUAAAAAAGUUAAACACCUGCUGCAGGAUCCAGCCAUUCUGCUCCUAGGUAUUUACCCAAGAGAAAAGAAAGCUGUGGUAGGCAAAAUAAUGGCCCCUGAAGAUGUCCAUGCCCUAAUCCCUGGAACCCAUAAACAUGUUAAAUUACAUGACAAAGGAGACUUUUUAGAUGUGAUUAGAUUAAGGAUCUUGAGAUGGAGAGAUUGUUCUGGAUUAUCCAGGUGGGCCUGAUGUCAUCACAAGGGUCCCUAUAAGUGAAAGAGGGAGGCAGAAGAGUGAGUGUGAGAGUGACAUCAUGUGACAAGACUUGACUUGUCAUUGCUGCCUUUGAAGAUGGAGGAAGGAGCCACAAGCCAUAAAUUCAGGUGGCCUCUAGAAGCUGGAAAAGGCAAGGGAAUAGAUUCCUCCUAGAGCCUCCAGAAGGAAUGCAGCUGUGCUGACACUUUGAUCUUAUCCCAGUGAAACUCAUUUUAAAAUUCUGACCCCCAGAACUAUAAAAUAAUAAAUUUGUGUUGUUUGAAGCCUCU